UACGUAGGGGGCAAGCGUUGUCCGGAAUCAUUGGGCGUAAAGAGCGUGUAGGCGGCCCUCCUUGUCGCGUGUGAAAGCCCCGGGCUCAACCUGGGAACGGCGCGCGAGACGGGGGGGCUGGAGUUCGGGAGAGGAGCGUGGAAUUCCCAGUGUAGAGGUGAAAUUCGUAGAUAUUGGGAAGAACACCGGUGGCGAAGGCGGCGCUCUGGACCGAGACUGACGCUGAGGCGCGAAAGCGUGGGGAGCAAACAGG
rnacentral:rRNA from 1 species